CCAGUCUCUCAUGAAUUCACAGACUGCUCAAGAAAACCCAAUCUGUGCUGGAAGGUGCUGUGUGCAGCCUUCCUGCCCAGAUCCGCAUGGCUGUGGCAUAGUGAAAACUUCAGAGAAUGGAGUGAUCCUGCCUUGGUAGCCCUGGUAGUAUCAGCAGUAGGGGUGGUGUCCGCCACCCAUCCGGCAGAGACUAGUAGGCACCAUGCCACCUGGAGAUGGUCACAAUUAGCACUAUGGCCCCUCUAUGGGGAGUGGGUUUGAACAUGGGCAUCACCUAACCAUGUCCAACGGGGAGAAAGUGGUCAGCCACUAGAACUCAGACCUCUCCUCUGUGGAAAUGUUCCACCGCUUUUGAAAUAAUCUGAAUUGGUCUACAAGGGUUAGAUAUGCAGAGACUAGGGCUGGCAAAACUCCGUUAUGCAGAAAAGAGAAGCAAGAUGAAAAAGGGCUUGUGGUGACAUUCCCCAUCGCUCAUGUAUGCAGAGUGAUUUAACCCACAGACAACUCCACACUCUGGAUCUUAUGUUUAUUCUCAUUUUAUAAGCAAAGGAAAUGAUGCACAGAAAUGUUUAGCAACUGUCCAAAGUCACACAGCAACAAGGAGGCAGAACUGGGCUUGGAUCCCAUGCAGAACAGCAUGAAGACCUUUGUUCUCUAUCUGGUACUGGGAUGGCUCUAUGCUUGGAAGUGGCCAAGAGCUUGGACACUGGGGUCCGAGAGUUCUGGGUUCAUCCUCAGAGUCUCUUCUUUGUAACCACAACAUCUCAGAUGUCACCUAAGCCACAUCGAGUAUGGCAGGCCACCACAGCCAGGCCACACCAGCCACUAGGCAGGUGCAGGGGCCACAGUUCCAAGGUCUUUUUCUAAAGACACACCAUCACUUCCUUCCUAUCAAAUCAACUUCCGAGACUGAGAACAGACAAAAGGAUUCUUCCAGCUGACUGGAUGCUAGACCACAGAAAUACAGCUAAGGUACCAUUGCCUGGAUCACCUGUGGGUCACGACCCCUUUGACAAACCUCUGUCUCCAAACAGAUUUACAUUAUGAUUCGUAACAUAGUCACGAAGUAGCAAGGAAAAUAAUUUUAUGGUGUGGGGGAGGGUCACCACAACACAAGGAACUGCAUUAAAGUGUUGUAGUGUUAGGAAGGUUGAGAAC
rnacentral:lncRNA from 1 species